rnacentral:rRNA from 1 species
UACGAAGGGGGCUAGCGUUGUUCGGAAUUACUGGGCGUAAAGCGUAUGCAGGCGGAUCGUUAAGUCGGGGGUGAAAUCCCGAGGCUCAACCUCGGAACUGCCUUCGAUACUGGCGACCUUCGAGUCCGGGAGAGGUGAGUGGAACUCCGAGUGUAGAGGUGAAAUUCGUAGAUAUUCGGAAGAACACCAGUGGCGAAGGCGGGUCUCUGGACAGUUCCUGACGCUGAGGCACGAAGGUCAGGGGAGCAAACGGG